AUGUUUCUGGGCCCUGUUGGCAGAGCAGGGCUCGAGCCCUGGCUGCGGGAGCGGGACUCAGCACGCUCAGCCCGGGAGAUGCUGCAAGUGCGGCCUGGGCUGUACCUGGGUGGGGCAGUCGCAGAGCCGCAUUAUUUGAAGGAGGCCGGCAUCUCUGCCGUGUUGACGGUGGACUCAGAACCUGGUUUCAAGGAGGGGGCUGGGUUCGAAGGUCUACGGAGCCUCUUGGUGCCAGCCCUGGACAACCCGAGACCGACUGGCUCAGCCAUCUGGAUGGGUGCGUGGCCUGCAUCCGCCAGGCGCGCUCGGAGGGCCGUGCGGUGCUGGUGCACUGGUCUCUUUUUCAGCCACGCAGGCAUCAGUCGAAGUGUUGCUAUAGUGACUGCUUUUUGAUGAAGACUGACCGCCUUACCUUUGAAAAAGCCUAUGAAAAUCUACAGACUAUAAAACCUGAAGCUAAGAUGAAUGAGAGGUUUGAAUAUCAACUGGAAUCAUACCAGGCAAUGGGAUAUGAAGCGGGUACCUCUGGUGCAAUUUAUAAGCAGUAUCGCUUACAAAAGUUUACAGACAAGUAUCCAGAAUUGCACAAUCUACCUCAAGAACUCUUUGCUGUUGAUCCAACUACCAUUUCACAAGGAUUAAAAGAUGAAGUUCUCUACAAAUGUAGAAAAUGCAGGCGAUCCUUAUUUCGAAGUUCUAGCAUUUUGGAUCAUAACGAAGGAAGCAGGCCUCUAGCCUUUGCCCACCAGAGAAUGACACCAUCUUUCAUGCUUGCCCCAGGGAAUCAGGCUCAAUGUACAUCUUAUUUCAUUGAACCUGUACAGUGGAUGGAAUCCACUUUGUUGGGAGCAUGGAUGGGCAGGUGA